rnacentral:rRNA from 1 species
CACGUAGGGUGCGAGCGUUGUCCGGAAUUAUUGGGCGUAAAGAGCUCGUAGGCGGUGUGUCGCGUCGGCCGUGAAAACCUGCAGCUUAACUGUGGGCUUGCGGUCGAUACGGGCAUCACUGGAGUUCGGCAGGGGAGACUGGAAUUCCGGGUGUAGCGGUGGAAUGCGUAGAUAUCCGGAAGAACACCUGAGGCGAAGGCGGCUUGCUGGGCAUGAUCUGACGCUGAGGCGCGAAAGCGUGGGGAGCAAACAGG